rnacentral:rRNA from 1 species
ACGAACGCUGGCGGCGUGCCUAAUACAUGCAAGUAGAACGCUGAAGAGAGGAGCUUGCUCUUCUUGGAUGAGUUGCGAACGGGUGAGUAACGCGUAGGUAACCUGCCUGGUAGCGGGGGAUAACUAUUGGAAACGAUAGCUAAUACCGCAUGAAAUUGCUUAUCGCAUGAUAAUUGAUUGAAAGAUGCAAUUGCAUCACUACCAGAUGGACCUGCGUUGUAUUAGCUAGUUGGUGAGGUAACGGCUCACCAAGGCGACGAUACAUAGCCGACCUGAGAGGGUGAUCGGCCACACUGGGACUGAGACACGGCCCAGACUCCUACGGGAGGCAGCAGUAGGGAAUCUUCGGCAAUGGGGGGAACCCUGACCGAGCAACGCCGCGUGAGUGAAGAAGGGUUUCGGAUCGUAAAGCUCUGUUGUAAGAGAAGAACGGGUGUGAGAGUGGAAAGUUCACACUGUGACGGUAUCUUACCAGAAAGGGACGGCUAACUACGUG